AAAGCGGUACGAGAGUUGGGUUCAGAACGUCGUGAGACAGUUCGGUCCCUAUCUGUUGUGGGCGCAGGAUAUUUGAGAGGAUCUGUCCCUAGUACGAGAGGACCGGGAUGGACGGACCUCUAAUGUGCCAGUUGUCGCGCCAGCGGCAGUGCUGGGUAGUUAUGUCCGGAUGGGAUAACCGCUGAAGGCAUCUAAGCGGGAAACCCACCUCAAGAUGAGAUAUCCCUCUGCGAAAGCAGACUAAAGGCCCCUGGUAGACUACCAGGUUGAUAGGCUGAAUGUGUAAGCACAGUAAUGUGUUUAGCUAAUCAGUACUAAUAGGCCGUGAGGCUUGACCNN
rfam:Nitrospirae bacterium GWA2_42_11 gwa2_scaffold_34682, whole genome shotgun sequence.